rnacentral:rRNA from 1 species
GUUAAGACCUUAUCAAGCCGUUAUACGCUCCUAUGAGUGGAAUUAUCAACAACGAAAGUGACUUUAUAACAUUAGAAAUCUUGAUGCCACGACAGUUGGGCCCCAAACUAGGAUUAGAUACCCUACUAUGCCCAACCACAAACUUAGACAAUAACCUACCACAUUGUCCGCCAGAGUACUACAAGCGCUAGCUUAAAACCCAAAGGACUUGGCGGUGCCCUAGACCCCCCUAGAGGAGCCUGUUCUAUAACCGAUAAUCCCCGUUAAACCUCACCACUCCUUGCCAAUACCGCCUAUAUACCGCCGUCGUCAGCUCACCCUGUGAAGGAUAAGAAGUAAGCAAAAAGAAUUAACUCCCACACGUCAGGUCGAGGUGUAGCGAAUGGAGUGGAAAGAAAUGGGCUACAUUUUCUACUAAGAAAACACGGAUAGUAAACUGAAAAUCUACUUUAAGGUGGAUUUAGCAGUAAGGAAAAAUCAGAGUAUUUUCCUGAAGCCGGCUCUAGGGCGCGCACACACCGCCCGUCACUCUCCUCAACAAAACCUUUACUUUUUAUAAAAAAAUUAUUUUACUAAGAGGAGGCAAGUCGUAA